rnacentral:ncRNA from 1 species
ACAAUGUAGGCAAGGGAAGUUGGCAAAAUGGAUAUGUAACCUCGGGAAAAGGAUUGGCUCUGAGGGCUGGGCUCGAGGGUCCCAGUCCCGAACCCGUCGGCUGUCGGUGGACUGCUCGAGCUGCUCCCGCGAUGAGAACGGGUCGUCGCGUGCCGGCCGGGGGACACCAUGGAUUUUUUAUAUAUGGAUUCGUGAUAUGGAUCAAUUUUUUGAGUGGUACAACUUGUCUAAUAAUAGAAGAGUUAAAUUUUCUAAGAUAUCCAUUGGUGAAACUCAAUUUUAUUAGGAAGAUGUUGGAUAUUGUUUAGAGAGCAGAGGUAAACCUCUCAUAACUAAUUGAACCAAAAUAAAACUAAAACUACAGGAGAAGUAUUUAUCUCAAUCUUAUA